rnacentral:rRNA from 1 species
AUUGAACGCUGGCGGCAGGCUUAACACAUGCAAGUCGAACGGCAGCACGGACUUCGGUCUGGUGGCGAGUGGCGAACGGGUGAGUAAUACAUCGGAACGUGCCCAAUCGUGGGGGAUAACGUAGCGAAAGCUACGCUAAUACCGCAUACGAUCUAAGGAUGUAAGCGGGGGAUCGCAAGACCUCGCGCGAUUGGAGCGGCCGAUGGCAGAUUAGGUAGUUGGUAGGGUAAAGGCCUACCGAGCCGACGAUCUGUAGCUGGUCUGAGAGGAUGAUCAGCCACACUGGGACUGAGACACGGCCCAGACUCCUACGGGAGGCAGCAGUGGGGAAUUUUGGACAAUGGACGCAAGUCUGAUCCAGCCAUUCCGCGUGCAGGAUGAAGGCCCUCGGGUUGUAAACUGCUUUUGUACAGAACGAAAAGGCUCUGGUUAAUACCUAGGGCUCAUGACGGUACUGUGAGAAUAAGCACCGGCUAACUACGUGCCAGCAGCCGCGGUAA